UACGUAGGGGGCAAGCGUUGUCCGGAAUCAUUGGGCGUAAAGCGCGUGUAGGCGGGUCGGUAAGUCCGCUCUGAAAGCCCGGGGCUCAACCCCGGGAGGCGGGUGGAUACUGUCGACCUCGAGUCCGGAAGAGGCGAGUGGAAUUCCUGGUGUAGCGGUGAAAUGCGCAGAUAUCAGGAGGAACACCAAUGGCGAAGGCAGCUCGCUGGGACGGUACUGACGCUGAGACGCGAAAGCGUGGGAGCGAACGGG
rnacentral:rRNA from 1 species